CUUCUAUUCUAUUUCACGCAGCAAUUGAUAGAUCUAGGUUUUCUAUCUCUUCAUCACUCCUCUUUCUUACUGUGAAAGGUCACUAGAUCGAGCUUCGUAGGCUCCGAUUCACGAUCUGGUUCUCUCCAUCUUGGCUCAAAGCUCUCAAUCAGUCCAAUUUGAAGAUUAAUUUUAGAUUCAGACAUAGCAAUGACAUGGAAAACUGGCUUCUACAUCCCAUGAGGGAGAGCAACCUGUAAUUAUUUGCCCUUGUUUCUAUAUGGAUCUCAAGAAAAAUGCAUGAUUCUCAUCCCCUAUCUAUAAAAUGUUUGAAAUCUUUGGGAGACAAGAUGAUUAAGGAGCAACAUUUUACAACUCAUGAUUUCUUGGAAUCAGAGGUGGUCCUAAUGCAGGUAAAUCCCAUAGAACUAUGGUGGAUGGUUGCAUUUGUCAGCUUCAACUGAGAUGUUUUUCUACUCUUUCUCUUCUUCUUGAAAGGGGAAUUGCAACGGUUGGGAAACUUGUAAACUUUGAAGCAUGCAAGGAUAUCAUGGAUCUUCUCUAUGAAAAGGAUUAGACAUCAGCUCUUUAUAAUUCUCCCAAAUAUCUUGCUACAUUAAUACUAGCAUGUGCAUUUACAUUUCUUAUUUCUAAUUUACUAAUUCAGAAAUGUUGCACCUGCUAUGUCUUUUUACUUUGUAAUAGUUUUGGAUCUUUUGCAGGUUGCUUCAUAUGUUAUCACAAUUCCAAAACAGAGAUGGGAGUUUUUUGUUCUUCCUUGGGGUAAUAUUUCUGUACUCGAAAUUUCUCCGGUCGCCUCUUCUAUUUGAUCUACAGUUAUCAUUUUGUGUUUCUAUGGUUAUGCCAAAAAAAUAAGAUGUUAUGCACAGUCAGAAACACUAAUACCAAUUAUUAUGUGCCGUUUUAUUCUGAUUAGAAAACUACUAACCACCAACUAAAUCUGUAUUACAGAAAAGUGAUUUACUUGAGGUUUUUGUAUAGCUUAGAUUUUUCACAAUUGUGUUUAUACAGUUGUUUUAGACUAAUAGUCAUCAAUAGAUCACUCAUUUGGUUUAUCAUUCUGUAGCCAGCUUCACCUACCACCCUUGGAAAGGAAAUUGCAAUUCUUGCUGUCAGAUUAAGCAGGGAAAGACGGAAUAUUUCUCAAGUUGAGAUAAUGGGGAAGUUUGCUGGUGCAGUUAGAAAUUACAAUGCACAUCUUGUUGCAUACCCUGAUAUUGAAUGGCCUCAAAUUGCAGAGGAGUUCGUGAAAUCUCUUGGAUUAAGUUUCAAUCCCUAUGUGACUCAGGUGUGUUCCAUUCACAAGAUUUCUUCUCACUUAAGUUUUAUUAGGUUUCUCCGUAAUUCUUCACAAACCAGAGUAAUUUUUAGAAGUUUUAUCAGCAAGUUCUAAGUUAACAAUCAGUAACCACAUUUUGAUGGAUCCUUUUGAUAUGCUAUAUGUUGGCUCGUAGAGACCUACCAUGCACUACACAACUGCUCUAUGUACAAAGCUAGAGAAGUCAGUAGUCUUUAUUACCUAUUAGUUACUCAUUAGUGAACUUUCUUCCGAAUUUUUAUCCUGUCCUUGCUCCUUAUUGUUUUUAUCUAACAAUUAAUUCAUCCAUAUUAAACUGUGAUAGAGGACAUCACUUAUAUGUGUUCCUUGAAAAUUUGGAAUUCGGUUCAUUAUCUUCUAGCUAAUGCUUUCAUAGUUUAACCAUGUUCUGCAAGUUAGUUGCUGCUCCAGAUUAUCAAUGUGAUAAUUUGAACCACUAUUCUAAAAAUCUUUUUAAAAACAGAAUGAUUUUUGAAUGGAACUUACA